GACGAACGCUGGCGGCGUGCCUAAUACAUGUACGUCGAACGCUUCUUUCCUCCAGACUGCUUGCCCUCCAUUGGAAAGAGGAGUGGCGGCCGGGCGAGUCACACGCGGGUAACCUACCCAUCAGCGGGGGAUAACACUUGGCAGCAGGUGCUCAUCCCGCACAAAAGUUUAUGCCGCAUGGCCUAUGAGUGCAAGGCGUGUUCGGGUGUCGCAGACGGACGGACACGCGGUGCAUAAGCUAGCUGGUGUGGUAAUGACUCACCAAGGCCACGAUGCAUAGCCGACCGGAGAGGGUGAUCGGCCACACUGGGACUGAGACACGGCCCAGACUCCUACGGGAGGCAGCAGUAGGGAAUCUUCGGCAAUGGACGAAAGUCUGACCGAGCAACGCCGCGUGAGUGAAGAAGGUUUUCGGAUCGUAAAACUCUGUUGUUAGAGAAGAACAAGGACGUUAGUAACGGAACGUCCCCUGACGGUAUCUAACCAGAAAGCCACGGCUAACUACGUGC
rnacentral:rRNA from 1 species